rnacentral:tRNA from 1 species
CGGGAUUUAGCUCAGUUUGGUUAGAGCACUCGCUUUGGGAGCGAGGGGUCACAGGUUCGAAUCCUGCAAUCCCGA